CGGCCGCGGCUGAGGGACCUGCCCGCGCUGCUGCGGAGCGGGCUCACGCUGCGGAGGAAGCGGAGCGCCGCUGGGGGCCGGGCUGCACCUGACUUAACCCCAGGGCCCCCAGAUUCAGGCUGCGGGACCGGGCAUCGGCUGAAGACGAGCUGUUUGCCUCUUCUCGGAGGGGAAGCUGCAGGUGUCCAGCGUCCAACAGCCAGCCAGCCCUGUCCCAACCGCAAGCUUCAGGCCCCACGAGCGGCAUCCCUGUUUGCAGGACGCAUGCGACGUGUGUGCUUGUUUUGGAGGUGCUGUUGCAAGCUCUGGGCAUCGAGACUGGUUUUGGUGGUCUCCACCGCCGAGGGGCAGACCCAGGAGUCGGAAGCUCUUGGGUGAGCUUC
rnacentral:lncRNA from 1 species